rnacentral:rRNA from 1 species
CACGUAGUUAGCCGGUGCUUAUUCUGCAGGUACCGUCAGUUUCACGGGGUAUUAGCCCAUGACGUUUCUUUCCUGCCAAAAGUGCUUUACAACCCGAAGGCCUUCAUCGCACACGCGGGAUGGCUGGAUCAGGGUUUCCCCCAUUGUCCAAAAUUCCCCACUGCUGCCUCCCGUAGGAGUCUGGGCCGUGUCUCAGUCCCAGUGUGGCUGGUCGUCCUCUCAAACCAGCUACGGAUCGUCGCCUUGGUGAGCCGUUACCCCACCAACUAGCUAAUCCGAUAUCGGCCGCUCUAAUAGUGCAAGGUCUUGCGAUCCCCUGCUUUCCCCCGUAGGGCGUAUGCGGUAUUAGCUACGCUUUCGCGUAGUUAUCCCCCGCUACUAGGCACGUUCCGAUACAUUACUCACCCGUUCGCCACUCGCCACCAGACCGAAGUCCGUGCUGCCGUUCGACUUGCAUGUGUAAGGCAUCCCGCUAGCGUUCAAUCUGAGCCAGGAUCAAACUAC